GCAGUCACGGCAGAGAAGUAUGGAAACGAGACUCACUCUAAUCUGAAUCACGCAUUCACAAAGCUCCCGGUGACGUCACUUAGCGACUUCCAGCGACUUUUGACCGUUAGCAACGGUGAAAGAGGACAGUCAGGGGACUGAGGAAAGCGGAGGUUAAGCAGCCAGAAAUUUUACGUUGUGUCGCUGCAUUUACAACACCAGCAUGGCCUCGGGAUCAACACCCUCUGCAGAUGUUGAGAGCGCUUUCCAGAAGUUUGCAGUCCACGGAGAUCCUCAUGCGACUGGGCGGGAGAUGAAUGGAAAGAACUUUGCCAAGAUAUGCAAAGACUGUCACAUUAURGACGGCAAACAUGUCACUUCCACUGAUGUCGAUAUAGUUUUCA